GGAUCCGAGCCGCGUCUGCAACCUACACCACAGUUCACGGCAACGCCGGAUCGUUAACCCACUGAGCAAGGGCAGGGACCGAACCCGCAACCUCAUGGUUCUUAGUCGGAUUCGUUAACCACUGCGCCACAACGGGAACUCCCCCACUGACUUCUCAUCUAGUUUAGAAUCCAGCUCUUGCAUUUAGGGAAGUCGAAAGGGUCACCCCUAGGAUUGCAGGGUGCGUCAGAAGUGCCGAGAACCGCUUGGCUUUGUGUCCCUGUGCCAUCUUGGCAAGUCCCUUCCAGCUUAAAUAGUCUGUGCAUCCCACCCAAGCUAGACUACCGGGCUGUCAGUGACACAGAGAGCAAGGGAGACUUGUUCCAACACAGAGAAUGAGGUCGUGGCAGAACCAUAGCCAGACCCUGGCUCACUCCUACUCCAGUCUUCUUUCCACUCUGUCAUAAACCACAGAUUCAUUUCACACUUCCUGUUUUGAGGAUGCAGAGGUUAGAAAAAUAUGGCAGUGAUGCUGAUAACUUGUAUAGGCUUAAACAUUUUGAUACUCAGCAGUAAUCCCAGCAUAUAUGCCAGACAUCAGGGAGUACUAUCCCCAACAGCUGAGUACUGUUCCCAUCUCCAGGGAGGGGGAUCGUCAUACGUAGGGGCUGCCAUAAGGAAGUCUUCUCUGAUAGUGUGAGUUUGGCAAAUAAACCUGUUGUUUCUGGCCAGCUUGCCAUGGGGGAAGGGAAGGGAGGAAACUUUGAAGUUCAAAGCAAAUUAUAUAUCACAAGCAACCCAUCCAGAGGCUGAGCUUUCAUCACUGCCACUUCUGUUGUUUUAUGGUGAGGAACAGCCCAUGUUGAGUGUUGGCUUGGAGAUGCCAUGUUGAAUUCUCUCUAAACCUGUCCCACUACUAGCCUUAUCAUCCAAGGUAGUUUUGAGAGAAAAGGAUUCUUUGUCCUGAUUCCUUAGCUGGAAAACAUCCAGGAGGAUGGGAAUUAUGGUUAGCCACUAUCACCAAGGAUAUACAUGCCAAAAUGGUGAUAAAUUAUAAAUUCUGAUGCUAUAACAGUGUUUCCUUGAGGCUUUUUUUUUUUUUUUUUUUGCUUUUUCUAAGGCUGCACCUGCAGCAUACGGAGGUUCCCAGGCUAAAGGUCGAAUAGGAGCUUCAUCUGCGGGCCUAGGCCACAGCCACAGCAACACUGGAUCCAAGCCGUGUCUGCGACAUACACUAUAGCUCAUGGAUUUGGUUUUAGACAAAUGCACCCGAGAUCAGUCUCACUGCCUCCCUUUUGCCACAUGUGCUUGGUUGAAGGACUAGAAGUAGACGGACAAACCUCCAGUCCCAACAUGCUUCGUGCAGUGAAUUCAAGGAUCUGGGCCGAGGGCCACAGGACCCAUUUAAACAGAAAAUGUGAAAGGAAGCCAGGUGCUUUUUUUGCUCGGGCUCUCAUCAAAUGAUGACUGCACUGUCAGAGGUGAAACACUGUUACUCGACAGUGGCCAGUGGCUUAGAAUGUUCUUGUUGUCAUUUUGAAAAUAUAUUGGAUUUUGUUGUCGGAAACACACAGGCAGCUCACAAGAAUGACAGUGACUCAGUUGCCUCUGACGUCAGUGGAGAUUUGGCUACCAGAAAGCAGGCUUUGGCUCACUGGUUAUAUACCCAGAAUUUUCCCCUAGGGCUUUCUUGUUGUUUUUCCCCAAAGGAUGGCAUAAAAUCAGGUGUAAUGGCCUCAAAGCGGCAACAUUCAAAUCUGUCUGAGAGCCAUUCAAAAACACAAAUGAUGUGUAUACCGUGUUAUGUGCUGCAAGUUGGGAAGUUGGAACAAAUUAAAAAAGGAAAAUUUAACCUGGAAUGUGUGUGUAGGAGGGAGAGGAGGCUUAUCAAGAAUGCUGUGAAAUAAGCAGAAAAUUAUUCAGUGUUUCUCUGCUCUGUUCAUUAAAGCAAUGGUGUUGGGCUUUGAAAUUUUCUGUUUUAGUCAGACCUUUAUUUCAUUUAUGCCAGUAUAUUUGUAAAUAAUUAUAUUAACGUGACAUUUUAAGUAGACCUGUUUCCAAACAGUGAGGUAUUCACAGUGACUGUUUUCGGAUGGAGAAAAACAGUUGAACACACUGUGCUCAGCAGAAACACAAAAGCUGCCGUGGAUAAAGGGAUCGAAUUAAUCUACCUUUGCCCCACCACCGCAGAGGGGCAGUCAGACCCAGGUGCCCAAAGAGCCCCAUCAGAGUCCCCUGAGUCAAGAAGCUCCCAGGGCCUUGCUUAAUCUAGCAGAGUGUCAGAGGCACUGAGGCAAGAGGGAAUGACUCCCGGCCCAAAUGUCACAGAGCAUCGUCACUGAGGAAGGCCACCCCAGGGGCGACCUCCCCGUAUGUGGUGAUCAGUAAGCCUUGGAGUCUAGCCUGGCUGCAGUCCAUCUUUGUGGCAAAUCACCAGAAAGUUCUUUGAAUUUCCACAGAUUCUGCCCCCCCCCCCCCGCCACCGCCCCCCAGUGAACCAUGGACACACUGAAUAUUUAAUUAACUGUUCCUCAUCCUUGGGGCCUCGCUAACUCUCUGCUUCACACACUGGCUGGACUUGUGCAGUGAACUUUUCGCGCUUGGCUAAGCAUGUUCUGAUGUGGCUUAAUGUAGUUCCUCAGUGUUCACGAUGACUAAGAAACGGGCAUCCAGCAUCACCGCGUUGCACAUGUGAAAGGGAAUCUGACAACUGGGAUCAUAAACCAUCUUACCUUUAUUCAUUCCAGCCUUUACUGCUUGCAAAUCCUAAGCACUAUGACUUGCCCCAUUGGAUUACCUGAACAAUGGCGGUAUGUUUCAGGUUAUUUUUGAACUGUGAGGCACAGAAGACACUUCUUGAAGCUCAUUAGUUCUCUGGUAAAUUUUAUGAUUUCCACAUGUUGUUAAGAAUAAGACUCAGUUGGAAGUUCCCUUAGUGACUCAGCGGUUAACGAACCCAAGUAGUAUCCAUGAGGACUCAGGUUCGAUCCCUGGCUUCACUCAAUAGGUUAAGGAUCCGGCUUUGCUGUGAGCUGUGAUGUAGGUCACAGAUGUGACUCAGAUCCUGCAUUGCUGUGGCUAUGGGUAGGCUGGUGGCUGUAGCUCCUUUUCGACCCCUAGGCUGGGAACUUCCAUGUGCCGCAGGUGUGGCCC
rnacentral:lncRNA from 1 species